GGCUCUGUGGCGGAAUUGGCAGACGCAACGGACUUAAAAUCCGUCGAGGGUAUACCUCAUGGGGGUUCGAGUCCCCCCGGAGCUA
rnacentral:tRNA from 1 species